CCUUACUCAGUUGUUAGUGAAAGAUUAUCUCUUUAGUACAUAUUACAUGCAAGAUACGAAAAUAUCAUGAUUAUGUCAGAAUGAAAAUACGAGUCACCAGCCGCAAAGAAUGCAAGAUACGAGGUUUUAUAGCAUGAUAUCAUGUUGAUGAUCUCAGAACAGAACAGAUUACACCAUAGUAGCAAGCUGACACGAUACUACUCAACUUAGACAAGACUGGAUGCACGGACUCUGCAUCUUCCUGUUGGAACAGAGUUGUGCUUGAAACUUGCAGAGUGCCGUGGUUUGCUGAUACCGGUUGUCACCAUGGAAUUUAAUCCAGAUGUGUACCAUGUUUUUCAGUGGAAGUCUGGGGAGGCUAAGUGGGUGAGGAUUAGUGCCUUGGUGGGUGCGCCCUGUUUUUUGCGACCCCUUAUUUUGUGGGCUGGCUUGGACCUGAUCAUCCAGGGAUUCGAAACGACUGCAUAUACUUGAAUGGGGAAGGUUUAUGGAGUGAGUAUUCUUCAGUUGAUGGAUCUUUCCGUAGAUCUGAUGUUGUCUACCCUGAAGGGGAAUUACUGGAGGGUUUCAGGUCGUCUUGUUGGGUCUUUCCGAGCAUGUGUUGAUGCACUCCUCUGAGCUGAGAGGUGCGCUGAAGUUAUUGUCCCAAGGUAUAUUUGGCUGCCUAUUCCCUUGCUACUUGUUUUUAUUGCAUUGUCUUUCUUCCAAUAUUUAAUAAGCAUAAUGUGCGUGUAUGAAUUAUGAUUUAGCACACUAGCAGCAGGUGUUACUGUUACACAUUGCACAUGUUGUUUGGACUUGGGUUGCCUUCUUGCUUGUUGAAGUGUUGACAUCAGUAAUUUGCAAGUCUUUUAGAUUAGUCCUAAGCACGUUUCGCUUCUCCUUUAUGCAACUGUCUCAUAUGGUGCCACAACCAGUAGUACUUACUGUCUCAUAUGGUGCCACAACCAGUAGUACUUAUAUGUGCAUACUUUACAUGGUUACCUUGAUGUAUGUUGCCAUGUUGGUCAACUGUCUCAUACGAGUUUCGUAGUCCUCUGCAGCACCCUCGGCUGACAGUGCAUCGUUUAUGGCAUAAACUUGGCCAGCAGGAAUUGGCACCUAUGUUGCAGAAAACAAAAGAUGAAAACUUAGAUGCAGUGUGGAACGAAGGCAGGUGGGAAAUGUACUUCAAUUUCAAGACACAAAUGCAGACUGUAUGUAUGCAUAUCAGACAACACACAUCUUUUUCCUGAAAGACUACCAGAGAUCCAAGAAAGACAACUCAUUAUC